CCAAGAGCUUGCACAGCAGCCCACUGCCCUGGAAGCCCUUACAGAGACUUUGACUUUUCAGAAUUUUGAUGCUGGCCACAGGGGUGUUGAAGCAGGGGCUACUACUGCAGGGAGCUCUAAGUACAGAUCCUCGCCUUCUCACUUGAACACAUAGGCUCGAUGGCAGCGUUUGCUACCUGUGCAAGCUCAUAAAAUUCCAUCUCCUAGGUGCUAAGCAACGUCUACUGCCCAAGGGCCAACCUGGCUGGCAUUACUGUCUCUAGCCCUGUGGAUGCCGGGAGUCCAGUACCACCAACCAAAGCCUCCAAUUUCCUAAGCUGAAAAAGGUUAAUGUUGGCUUUGACUGUAUGUCUCACCCAAACCUUAGGAGUCGGGCUCUCUGUUCAACUGGUACCAGAAGCAACUCGUCCAUGAGCAAACCUAACCCCUCCAUAAGCUGGUUAAUUAUCAUCUCUGAUUUUUUUCUCCUCUGGAAGAGCACACAUGUACAGUCUGAGAUAAGAGCUGAUAUUUUUGCUUGUUGGGAAAUCCUUGAACCAAACUGGAAGAAGAGGAAAAGGCCUUUGUAUCCUUAAUCUUUCCGCACUGAGCUGGAUCUGUAUAGUUAAUAUGGAAAACUGUAACUGUGUAAUGAGAAGGGGUGUGGGCCAUGUGGGUGAGUGGAAUUCCUUACAGUACUUUCUUUUAGAUGUCUUAAUUUACUCUCUUUGUAUUUCGAUAGAUCCAGGUGUUUGGACAGAGCUGGUCUUGGUCCCCAGUCCCCUCUCUUCAUAUCUCUGAAACCACAGGUCUCUCCAGACUGAGCUGUGUCCAGGAAGUGACCAGGUUUCCCACCUCCUAUCACAUGCCUAUCUCCUAUCUGAAACACUUCCAGGAAGAUGGCAGGGGGAAGGCUACCCUAGGCCAGAAAGCUCAGACCCAGAGAUUGGGUGGGAGAUGUUACUGACAGGGCGGGGAGGAGAAGACAAAAUUCCAGAGACAAGAAUCCCCUAUGGAAACAGCCCACUGGGCUUUUAGCCUUCCAUUUGGGUUCCACUAAAACCCGUGUGUGUGUGUGUGUGUGUGUGUGUGUGUGUGUGUGUGUGUUUCUGUUGUUCUUAUGUCUGGGUUUAUUUCAAAGGGGGAAAUUAUAAAGAAACAUCUCUCUUCUCAUUUUAACGGCAGCUUGUGCUUGGCAGGCUGUCAUGUGGCCUGCCCUUCCUGGAGGUGAAAAAUAGGGUGCUGGCAUGAGUCCCAAGAGGUUCUAGGAGCCAGAGGUUCCAAUGAUGCUUGCUGACAGAAUCCCAGGCCAGGGGAUCUGACCCAUGGUGUUUUCCUACCCACUAUUGGCAACGUAGAUAGCCAGACAGUAUCCUUGAUGGGUUGAGACCUAGAGGAAAGGACUGGGAAACUGAGGUAGCCCCUACCUGGUAAACAUCCAUACAGCCAGCUGAAGGGCAGCCUCCCCACAGCCAUUGAGGACCUUCUUUGAGUAGCAUUUGUAAGUAUCCAGCCAAGUGAGGCUGGGUUUUGUCAUGUAAAAAACCACAGCUGGUGGUGAACCUUCCUAAGGGUUCAAGUUCCAAUCUAGACUGAGAAGCCACAGCAUGACCUGGAGGCCUUGAACUUGACUUAGUCUCUACCCCCAAGAGACAAGAAGUCACAGGAGACUGGAAAAGAGGUCAGUAGAGGACUAUAGGAUUAUUAUGCUAAGAAAAUUACAAAAUAAGUUGAUGAGUGUUGCUGCAGAGGUCAGCUUAUGAAAAAAAAUGGAUGCUAAAAGGGAAAGAAAAGAGGUGUCAUUGUAACUUCUAGGUAAGGAAUCCAAAAAUAAUUUCUGACCUUUGGCUUGGUGGUAUAUUCUGUGACAAUAACAGAGUAUCAGUAUCAGAGACUGAAAAACUAUUAGGCAUCUAGUGCAAAGUCCACAUCGUUCCUACUGAUGCCUUUCCCAUUUAUGUGUACAGGUGUUUUGUCUGCAUAGAUGUUUUUGAACAUCAUAUACAUGCAGUACCUGUGAAGGCCACAGGAGGACAGUAGAUCCACUGGAAAGGAAAUCAGAUGGCUGUGAGUGGCUAGGUGGGUGCUAGGGAUCAAAAUCAAGUUCUCUGGAAGAGAAGCUAGCACUCUUAACUGCUGAGCCAUCUCUCAAAGCCUUCACUUUAUAGGCGAGGAAACUGAGGCUCAAAGGAAACUGCUUGUCCAAGCCACAAAGUAAGUCAGUGGGUGGGCUAGUUCUGCAACAGAGUUCCAUUUAUUUAGUGUUGAAUCACUUUGUGACAGCGUGUGAAUGGACAGAUCUGCAUGAAGGGGAUCUGAGAAUUCCAGUAGAUAUGCCGCUCAUAUAUAUCCACUACGUAGACACUGGCCUUCAGAUCCUGCCAGGAGAGACCAUCAGUUCUUCCUAGUGGAGCAACCUAAUAUGGUCUUCGAGACUGUUGGGCAUCAGGCUACAGGCAGAAAGCAGAGCUCAGUACCUCAUCGUAGAUAGGCCUGUUUUCAGACAGAGUUUGGUGCAGACACAAAAAGAGAACCCAGGCCCUAGGCUCUGGCCUUUAUUAACCAGAGUAAGUUUUUGCAGGACUUCCCGGCUUCUCAGAAUGGGCUCCACAAUGAGGCAAGUGGUUCUGCUUAGAACAGCAUGACUGCCCUCUGGUUGCCAUACUCCUGAUAUCCCCAAUACCAGCUCCACACUGCCCAUCGGGGAGGCAGAGAGUGAAGAAUGCCUCUUGCUAAGUGGAUGAACACCCUACACUCUAGAAGAGACCAGCAGGGGACUGUAGAAUACUAAUGUGUAAAGCAACAAGCUUUUAUAGGAGAUGUUAGUCCAGGCUAUACUAGAAGGAGGAGGAGGAAGAAGAGGAGGAGGAAGAAGGAGAGGAAGAAGAGGAGGAGGAGGGGGAGGAGGAGGGGGAGAAGGAGGGGGAGGGGGAAGAAGAGCUUCCAGCUUUUGCAUUCCAGCUUCUAGAUAAGGUUUCUAAAAAUAAUCCCUUGAAUUGGGAAUGGGGGCAGUAUAUCUUAUAGUUCCAGCUAACCAGGAGGCUGAGGUGGGAAGAAUCAACCCAUCUGGGCAAUAGAGCGAGACCUCAUUAAAAUAAAAUCCUUAAUUGGUAUGGGUUUCUGUAGCUUCAUGAAUAAUUAACCAAUAAUCAACAGCCCUUUGUCUAAGGUCUGUGUUUACAAAAAUAUUGUAUUUAUACCUCCUGGUUUAUACUUCUUGUAAUCCCAUGUGGUGUCUAUCAGUGUCCACAUCUUAAAGAUGAGUAGACUGAGGGUCAGAAAACCCAAGCAAGUUGCUCCAAGUUGCAAUUUGGUAGUAGCCUCCUAUCUACCCCCAGAUCACAGAGUGCCUUCUGGGAAGAAGGCACACUAGGCUUGGGUUGCAGGUGGCAGUCAGUCAUUUCUGUCACAGAAUCAUUGCUGAGUUGGGGAACUGGACCAUAAUGCAGCUCUCUCUCAUCUUCUAGGGAGCAGAAUUCUCUUCUGAAGUCGUAUAGCACUGCCUGGUGAGCCUGAUGCAUUGAGGAUGAUUUGCAUGUCAGAUAGACACAUGGCCUUGAAUGACAGGCAUGGAGUGCUGAGUUUGUCUAUAGUCACCACCAGCUGUGUGGGCAGAGUGGAGAAUAGAGUCCAGAAAAAGCACUGAAAAAUCUGAGCAAAGUACAAGAGCUCUGGGUUUUGUGCUGGUCUAACCCUCUGUAUAAUCUCCAUGGUCAAGCACGAGGUAGAAGCCCUCUUGUUAAAAACGAAUGAAAAUUCUAGGGCAGCCUGUUGGUGCAUGCCUUUAGGGAGGCAGAGGCAAGUAGAUCUCUGAGUUCAAGUCCAGCCAAAUCUACACAUCAAGUUCCAGGACAGCCAGGGCUACCCAAAGAAACCAUGUCUGGAAAGAGAGGGGACAGGCUGUCUCCUGCAGCUAUUUAGAAACAGGCAAAUGAAAAUGACUCAUACAUAGUUGCAGAGUACAAGCUGGUAGCAACCCGGAAAUCACCCACCAUUGCCAGGCUCACAGAUACAAAGGGGUCAAAGAGAGAAGUGGGACCCAGUAGGUUUCUUUCUAUCUUUCUACCCCAGAACUGGCUUCAAUGGAGUCCUACAGAUUCUGCCCCCAGAUUACUCCAGAAAUCCCACUGCUCCAUGCUUAGAAAUUCAGUCUUACAUCUCUUUUAAACUUUUAAACUACAUUUUACAUGUGUGGGAUAGCACACAGGUAGAGGUCAGAGGGCAACUUGUUAGGUUGGUUCUUUCCUUUCCCUGCAUGGGUUGUUGGGGAUCAAGCUUGAACUGUCAGGCUUUGUGGCAAGCAUCCUUACCUGCUGGGCCCUAUCGAACUUAUUUUUCACUUGUUGAGACAAGACCUUGCUUUGUAAUCUUGGCUAUCUUGGAACUCCCUAUAUAGACUAGGCUAAUCUCAAACUUACAGGAAUCCACAUGCUUCUUUCCCCAGGUGCUGGGUUACAAGCAUGUGUCAGCACACAGGGCUCUACAGUACAUCUUUUUCAUUAAUUUACUUAUUUAUUCAUUUUACAAUCUAAUCACUGCCUCCCCAUCCCAGUUCCCCCUCCUCUUUUAACCAAACUUUUUGUGUGGACAGGCCUCAAGAGCACACACCACACACACACACACACACACACACACACACUGCCCCCCCUCAGUUCAGCAUUCAGUUUUGUUUCCAGACUGUCCCCCUUCCUUCCCUCUCUUCCCCCUCUCGUCCUGCCAUGACAGAGUAGCAGUGUCUCAUAGUCGUCUGCAGGGUCUCUUGGGGUGAAGCUGGACCCCACAGACAUCUUUGAGGGUGGGGCUUGAGUGCUAAUGGAUAGCUAUGUAUAGUGGCUUGGUGGAAAGACAUUCAGUUUUCGGGGGGUUAAAACUUUACUGUCUCUCUUCUUUUCCUCUCCUAGGGUUUUAGACCCAAGUAUUCUCUAGUAAAUUGACAAUAAAAUCCCAUUCAGGAGUAUUCCAAGGAUCAUGUAGGAGGGCCUUUAGACCAUAGGCAUGGGCAAGAAGCAGGGCAGUUAGAUUCACAGAGCCUGCAUGACCCAGUGCUGAUGGACACUUGUUCAUACUUGACCCAUUUCAUCUUCACUGCAGAUAAUACUCCAUGAGGUUCUGAGCCAGCCCGAAGCCAUAAACCCAGAAAGCAAUAGCGCCCACACAAGAAUUUACUAAUGCCGGCAUGACCUGUUACAAGGGCACCUUUGGGCUUUGCUGCUCUGGACAUGAUGUGGACUCCCACAAAAGACUGAAACAUUCAGGAAGCCAAACAUCCAGAGGAGAGAAAGCAGGCAUUGUGAGGUAGGCAGGUUGUGGUCACUGUGGGGCCCAGUUUCUGGCUAGCUCUGCCCAUCCUAGGAUACACUGGCUGCCUCACAUUUAGCUCUGCCCAUGAUUUCUGCAACCAUGUUUUCAAGGAUGACGUAACAACCCAGUGUACCAAUGGUCCUCCUUCAUUUUUCCUGUUAAGCAGAUUUAAAAAUGAACCAAGAAUCUUGGCUGCCAUUAAUUUCACAGCUUUACAACAUUUUGCAUUCUUUUUAUUUAUUUUAUUUUUCUUGAGUCACUUUUAAAGCCCUUAUGAUUCCCUUAUUUCUCUAUUGGGGAAUUCUCCUCUCUCCUGAAUACCCCAUCCCCCAGAAAACUUUAAAUAAUGUAACAAAUUCUCGUUUCAUUCCCUUUUUGUUUCUAAAUGGAUUUUUCUCCACAGAACAUCCCUGAGAAUCACAUAUGUCAGGCACUUCCCUAGGUGCCCCUUAGUCCUCACACUGAUCUACCCUUCUCCAGCCACUCCUCCUCCUCAAUCACACUCUGCUCUUUUAAUUGCUGCUUCCCUUGUCAUACUUGAGGCUUCUCCCUCCUGUCAGUCUGUCUCCCUUAGAUGCCAAUUCUUUCUUCCAUUGCUGAGAAUUCAUUAAGAUACUCAAGACUCCUGCACAUCUGCACCCUCCAUGCUGAAUCAUCCUAGUCUGUGUAGGAUGUUCCUUCAGAUGCUGACAGGAGCAGAGGACCAGGGGAGUCUGCUCAAGUGCAGAUUAAGGCAUUGCUGUAGAGUUGUGGGUCCCAUGGUCCAGCUGACACCUGCAGCCUCAUGGCAGAGCCUCUCUAAGACUGGACUGAUGCCCUUCCUAACUGCCUCCCUGGCCAGCCCAAUGGGUCCCUGGGACUGUCUUUUGUUUUAUGCAUUGCUGUUUUGUAGGCUGGUCCUAUAAACCAUCAGGGUCACCUGCAAUUGUUCCUCAGGUGUCUGCUGGGCCUGUGGGCACAGCUGGAAAAGAGUUGAGCAGGAGGCCAAGGGAAGUGACCCAAUGACUAAAAAGUCAAUGAGGUUAUAACUCUCUGGUAUGCUCUUAGCAGAAGGCUGAGCUACUCAGCACAUAGAAGAGCUGCCUGAAAGUUGUCACCCAUCCUGUUUGGGUUUUGACUUUUAGAUGGGUAUGUAGGUAAGUACCAGAGAAGGUCGUUUGCUAUGAGAGGCUUAAUCAAAAACAUGGCAGUCUUGACAGUUUCUAGGAAAGAAUGAUCUGAUUGUAGCUAACUGCCUCACCCAGGCAGGUCACAUGGUCCUUGUGAUAGGGUCUAUUAUGAGACAAUUGAGACGAUUGGCUAUGGGGACAAUUCUGUUGUUAUCAUACAGAUAAACACACACACACACACACACACACACACACACACACACACAGGAGGAGGGGACAGGGAGGGGAAGAGAGAGAUAUCAUUCAUUUGCUCAUUCAUUUCUUGCCUCAUUCUAAAAAGAGACUUAAGGCAAGAGACACAGCUGGAAAAUGGACACAGAGAAAAUUAUUCUGAAAUUCUAAUUUGAAAGAUAAAGUCUGAGAUGGUCUUAAGUGGGAGUAAGGCAGUAGACAGGGGGCUAGUCUAUAAAACUAGGAGACGCAGCCUUCAGGAUGAGGAGGCAAAAGACACCUUGGAUGGAGACGGGAGCAUCUGGGGAAGGGAGAGGCAGAUAGCGCCACAUUCUUCUGUCCAGCCUCAGUGGUUGCUCCAGGCACAAUGGAAUUGAUGUUCCUAAAAGCCCAGAAUCCCAACUAGGAUGGCAGGCUCUGAAGCACAGAAAUGGUUCAAAAACUCUGAUAUGUUGAGCUUUGCAGUGACUCUGACCCCUCCUUGCUGUAUAUCACUUUCAUAGACCCGUGACCGUCUAUUUUACACCUCCUUUAAUAGGAUGUGGGCAAUAGCAACAUGAAGGAGCGGCCUGGAAAAGUCUUCCUGUCCAUCAUAACCCCCCACCCCCGCAUCCUGAAAAGCUCUGGUUAAAAAACACUUUUUUGCCACGGGCAAUCAGUGCCUUCUUAAUCGCAUGGAAAAUGUGAGUCUAUGCCUCUUAGAAAAAGCUGCUCUUUUCUUUUCAUUGCUCUGGAAAGAGCCAGCUGAGUCCUUAUAGCUGUUUCCGGUGUCUCCCAAGCCCCUGCUUCUAACCAGUUUACUGUUCCCACGUCCCUGCUAGGCAGACAUUCAUGUCUCCUCUCCAGGAUAACUCUGUCUGUCUGGUGGUAGUAGUUCCGAGUGGUCACAAGCUCAUGAAGUGGCAGUUUUAUCAGCUGGAGUGGGUCCCGGGGAGGCAGGGCCAAUCCUGUUCCUCUGAGGAGGACAACGAUAAAAGUGGAAGUGGAGAUGGAGGAGCUUGGCUGUGGGGUAGCUGGGUUGUAUGGAAGGGGAUGUAUGGGGUGAAGCAGGAGGAUGACGCUGGAGGUGGAGGGGUGGUGGUACCCGGGCAGAGAAGGCCUUGAGGUCUGGUGAAGAAGACUGGCCGGUAUUCAUCCACACCAAGGAAAAAUGGCAGGAAAUUCAAGAGUUCAGGGAUCAGGUAAAGUCCAGUGUGAGAAGUAAACUCUCGGACUGGACAUUUGCCUUAGGAAUUAAAGGGAUGGAUAAAUGAGAUGGAAAGGCCUGGACCGUAGGAGGAAGUCAGCCCAGACUCAGGAAGAUCUGAAGCUUAUAAGGGGGAAAGUGUCCCCUUAAUAGGUAGCAUAGGCUGUCACUUGAGAUUCCUUGUGGAUUCCUGACAAGGGACUAGUGGCUAGACUACUACUGUUGACUAGCAUAAGAGCAGCAGAGAGGUUUUCCAGAAGGCCCCCAGGCCUCAGGAAAUGGUAAACUGAGGCAGAUAAGGGUUAAUGCGUUCUGAAAUAUUAAUCAUCCCGGUACUUAAUGCAGGGUGAAAUGAGAUAAAUUAUUCACAUCACUCAGUGUCAUAAAAAGGCUGAUGAUGCCAUAUCAGGCCUCUUUAGCUGCAUUUUACACAUAGGUCUUCUUCCUAUCCCUCUUGUUUAAUUGUUUUCAGAACAUCUGGCUUAAAUUGGUAUUUCAUGUCUCUGUUCUUUAUCUUCUGCCAAAAUAAAUUAGAUCAUACAUUCACUUCAUGACUUUCUGACAUUUCCCAUAUUUGUACCUUCACACAAACACAUCUAGGAAGAACUAGGGACUGAGGAAUCAGGCUCGGCAGAAAGGUGGGACCGUUUUCCAUGCUCAGGACUUCCAAUCUUCCAGCAAGAGGGCUGGCUCUGCACAGGGGCUACAGGACGUCUAUUUGUGAGACACUCUGAAUUAGUAGUGAUUUGUGGGAAUUAGAUCGCAAAGAUGUCUGUGCAGAGGUACCCACAGUCCUCCAGGGUGUCUGCAAAAUGGAUCUCAAUGAAUGGGGCUUUUUAUAGCCUUUCCACUCUUGGGCAGCCUUUCAGUGGCCCCAGUCCACAGCAGUUUCCCACAAUGGCUGAACUUCUGCUCUUCUUUACCAGGCACUGAGCCCCAGAAGGGAAUGGACUCUGAGAGUAGGACUCUUGAGGAGGGUCCGUGGGCUCUGCACUAACGUCAGUGGUGAAACACUAAGAAAGUGUGAGAAAGGAGAAACAAAUUAAGGCAGGAUUGAGGGGGAAAAGCACAGAAGGAAGGGAUGGAGAACUAGCCAGCAGACAGAGCGUAAGAGAAUUAAGCCAGAGGGAAGCAGAGUCUCUGGAGAAAGGUAAACAGGUCAGGGGAGCAGCUGGUCGGGAAUAAGAGUCUGGGAGAGAGGGUCAGGCUUCUCAGAAAGCAAAAGGAGCAAGACAGAUGGAACUAAGGGAAAAAUCAGGAGAGUCAGGGAGUGUGAGGGAGGCAGAGUCUCCAUGUCCUGCAGUGAGCUAAGCUAAGUGGAGGGCAAGUUGUCUUACACAUGCACACACCCACAUACACACACACACUUCUUACUAUGUUAUUUGUGAGACUCUGCAAACCCAAAUUGCCUCCUUCUCACCUACUGGAGCUCUUCUCUGUGUCCCCUGUCUUCCCCUUCAAUUCUUAGGGGUAAUUGAAAAUGAGUCAGAUGUGGACUUGCAACAUGCUAAAGAACUGGUGGGCUCCUUCUGUUUCACAGUGGGGUUCCAGUCCUCUGGGUUGCACACUCAGCAUGCCCACUGAAGUCUGACAGUGGCCCUGGCUGGAUGUAACUCCUGUGGUUGGAAGCUGCCAUGUAGAAGCAGCUAGGCCAAACAAAGAACUCUUUUUUGUUUGCUUGCUUGUUUGUUUAAAACAGGCUGUCAGGAAAUUUACACUGUAAAAAGUUAUGUAUAUAUAUAUAAAUCCAAUUUACUGGUGAGAACUAAAUGAAUAAAGUACUUGUUUGGGGAUUGAAUCUAAUGCUUUGUCCAAAUUCGACUCCCAAAAGCCGCACUUCCAGAUGUUAAGGGACCCUGCUCCCAGCUGGCAAGAAUUGCAUACAGUCAAUGGCUGGAUAAGCGGAUGGAGGCAAGACUUUUAGAUUGUGUGGGCAAGGCACCAAGGAGAAGAAGAACAGACAAAAUCACCAUGACGGGAAAACAAAGAGAGCAGACUUAAGGGCUUAUCAGCAUGUAAGAAUCUGGGAAAGUGGCCCCUAUUGGAUCUGGGACAGUGGAGAUGAAAUGUAGAUUUUAAAACACAUUAACUCAGAGAUAUCAGAGGGGAGUGCAUGCUAGCUGUGUAGAGGGUUUAGCACUGCUCAGUCAUUGAGCUAGUUUGGUGUAUCAAAAUUAGCAGCUGGAUGUGUGUGUGUGUGUGUGUGUGUGUGUGUGUGUGUGUGUGUGUAUGUGUGUGUGUGCAUAUGUGUACGUUCAUGCUUAUGUGGGUGCAUAUGCAUGUAUGAAAGCCAGAACAAGCCUAGAUAUCAUUCCUCAGAAACAAUGUCUACCUUAUUUUUGAGACAGGGUUUCUUUUGAGCCUUGAACUCAUUAAAUAGGACAGGGAGACUCAAACUGGAAUUUCAAGCACACAUUAUCAUGUGUGCAGCUGCUUUAAAAAGUGGAUUCUGGGAUUGAAUUCUGAUCCUCAAGUGCUUUAGUGACUGAGCCAUCUCCUUGACCCCAGACUUUCAUUUUAGAGGGUCUGGUUGGCAUUCAGAAUACUUGUUAUAUUUUCUAGCCUACAUUGAAGCUAACUGCGGGACAAUAUUUAGCAAGGAGGUUUGGCACAUGUAAUUUUAGGAAGUCUUAGAAAGGAGGACCCUUCUUUGCUAAUCGUAUCUGAAAUGACUACUGGAAGGCUGGCCAGGAGGCUCAGUGGGUAGAGGAGUUUAUUUGUACACUGAGAGCCUGAGUUUUACCUUUCACCCACCUCCCCAUGACAUGGCAGGAGACCAACUUUCUGACAUUCAAAGCACAGGUGCACCUGAACCCUUACAGACUUACACAAAUACAUACUAAAUAAAUAAACAAAAAGAAAUAAAUUUCCCCAGAGACUCUACCUGCUGCACAUGCAUCAGGUAAUCUCUUCUUGUGUGUGGUCUGAGUUCGUGUGCUGAGCAAGGGAAUGUAGCAUUAAAACAAAGGGGAGUCACUUCCCAGGCCAGCUUGUCAAAGACUUUGGCUUGUCUCACUCACAUUCUUGCUAGUUCUUUCUGCUUGCAUGUACGAAGUUACCAGGUAGUGAGUUGCUUUAUGGAGACGCCCAUGCCACAAGGAUCUGAGUACACCUUUGGCCAAUGGUGAGUGAGGAUUGGAGGCCAACUCAUUGCAGCAAGCAGGAUCUUGCUAGAAACUGGGUGUCUUGGAAGCAGAUCCUUCCCAACAUGAGAAGCUGGGCUGAUACCUUGAAUGCUAAUAUAGGACAAAGCCUGAGUCAGAGAACCAAGUUAAAUAUGCCUGGAUUUCCUACCCAAAGGAACUGUGGGAUGAUGUAAAUGAUCAUCAUAAGCCUCUAGGUUUGACAGGCUGCACAUUGAUCAUAAACUUUUCCUAACUAGUUUGAAAACAGACAUGAUGAUUGGGGUAGGCAUCUUGAGCUAUCAAACUGAUUUAACUAAGGCCCUGCAUGGACUAAUAGUAAACAAGAGAAGGGAACACUGCUAUCAUUUUGAAUGUUUUUUCUCAGCUGACUAAUUUUUUAAAUUUGUGUUAACAAAGUAAUGUGUCCUUUUUGCAAGCAAAGCACUCUCAUGCAGAAUGGUAAGGCAGGUCUGAUUUACUGACGAUGUGCAUAUUGUUGCCCACUUUCCCCCUGGGACUUUCGUUGUUUAAUUCCAAACUCUCUGUUAUCUCUGCCCUUUGUUCUUUAGCCGAGAGCCAUGCCUCAUAUCCCUUUCCAACCUUUUUCUGUCACCAAGUUCUGGCAGUGGUCCCAAGACACCAGGCUGAGGUUUUCCUUGUAGGGGUGUAGGUGGGGUAAAAUGUGCUCAUUCUGAAAAUAUCAGACUUUUGAAAAUAUUAGUUGGGGAAAUUCUUGAAAGCUUUGAGCAAUCUUAGUUUUAACUGAGUGGCCUGUGGCUGCAGCCUACUCUGCUCUGAGUGGAAGAUUGUUGAUGGAUGUGUCAACAUCAAUGGGAAAAUGAAAAGCUCAAAGGCAGCUUGAUACUGAGAACACAAAAAUAGAAUAUAGACAGAUCUCCCUUCUAUGACUGUGGGAAGCCAUUACUGACCGAGUGCCUUAUGCCCAGUAUGUUAACAAUGCUUGGAUAUAAAAUCUCAUUCUUGUAAAUUGCAGGAGAAUUUGGCCUUUUAAGUUCUCAUAGUUUAUUUCUAUUGUGGGUCCCUGGCUAAGUAUCAGUGACUACAUCUCAUUCAUGUGUGUUCUUGUCAUCAAGUGUCUUAUACUAAAUAAGCACUCAAUAAACUGUUGGGUAUAAGUUGGAGGUGAUCUUUUUGUGCACUGUCUAAAGAUUGUCAUAUUGUUCAAAUAAUGAUUUCUAUGCUGGCAGAGAGUUGAGUGCAGACCAGACUUUGGUAUUAUAACUUAUAUUUCUACAUCAUAUUUUGUACACAUUCCCUCUCUAUGUCCUUAUUGGUUUAAUAAAAAGCUGAUGGCCUAUAGCAAAAGAAGAGAGAAUAGGUGGGACUUCCAGCUGAUAUAGGAACUCUGGGAAAGUGUCAGGAGAGGAGAAUUCACCAGCCAGUCACAGAGGAGGUAGGCUGAGACUGAAGGAGAGGUAUCUAGGAAACCUCCUGGUAGAAUUUAGAUCAGAAUAAAUGGGCUAAUUAGAUUAUCUGAGCUAGUUGGGAACAAGAGUAAGCAAAAACCUUAAUCAUGAAAAGUAAAUACCUUUGUGUCUUUACUCAGAGCUGGGUCAGGCCUAGAAAGCCACAUGGUUGUAGGUACAUUCUAAGGAAGAUUCUUCAUUAUUGUAAUCCUACUUCAGGACACUCUUAGGUCAGUGAUAUCCCCCGUCUUCUCACUAAUACAGACUGCCAAUGUACAGUUGUUCAUUGGCUUCAUAAAAUUAUCUGGAAUUUCUACCAUGUACCAGGCUAUCCUAGAUGCUGGUAUUGUCACCGUCAAUGACAGUCAAAUAAAUCUCAGCUCGAUUCUGUUUUGUUUCCUGGUCUCCUCUGCAGUGAAGGGGCGCCGGAUGGUUGGUGUUGGCCAACAGACUAAGCAGAGUGGGCACAUUUCAUUUACAGUCCAAAGCUAUUCACAGCUAGUGGGCUUUCUUCUCCUCUUCUCCCUUGGAGUAUUCUGAAGCCAUGUGUUCUGAGGCCAGCACCAGAUGGGAUAAUCUGAGUCGCCGAAACCUGGAUGGAAGAGGGUAACUGUCCCCAUAUUUCUUGUUUGUACUUCCCCGACAAUUGCAAAGCCACCUGAACAAAGGUGAGCCAUGUGGUUACUAUGGAGCAAGAAUAUGCCAGGCAGAGAGAACAAAUGGCACGAGGAUUGGCUUGGGAAUGACUACAACCAGUUUUGUUGUGUUGAGCCUAUUUGGAUGCUUGAAUCAACUAGGAACCUGUGUAUUCCAUUUUAAUUUAUUCUUUUUUAUUGAAACAAUUUUUUUAAAAAAAGAAACAGGUUUAGGUUUACAGUGAGAUAGAGAGAUGGGUUUAAAGAUUGGUCAUGUGUUUCCUGGCUCUGUCUUAUAUACCCAGCCUUUCUGGUGUCUGCAUCCUUUGCAAGACUGGCACAUUAGUUACAAUGGCUGGAUCAGCACUGACACAUUAAUAUCAUCCAAGUAAAUAGCAUACACUUGCGCCCUGUGGAUUUGGCAAAAGCAUAGUGACGCAUAGCUGCCAACUUAGUAGCAUAUGGAAUAAUUUCGUGGCCCUCUUUCUCCGGUGCUGCCUCUGAUAUUCAGGCAUCCCCUGCCUUCAGGAAUGAAGUGGCUCACACUCCGUAGGAGACAGUGGGGUAUGGACCACUCUCUCCAUCUUUCCUGUGCUGCCUUCCCGAUUGCUGGCAUUAGGGUGGCCAGCCCUGCUGAUUCCCACAGCUCAUGCCAAGCUCUACUCAUCACAGAUUUCUACUUAGUCACUGUCUGCUUAAAACUUCUGUCCUGAGGAGACAAGUUAGCUAAAUGCAGACAUUCUUCUCUAUCUUGCUGAGCUAGGCUGACUCUGUUCAAGAAUAUGGUGUAACUCAAAACACACUCUGAAUUCUAAACAGCUCUUUCUGGUACUAUUUCCAAAGGUCAGAAAAAAUUAUGAUAAUGUUAUGUAUGGAAAAAUUUCAAUAUAAAAGUGGACACUGAUUCACCUUUGUUUUUAAAUGACAAAUUGCUCUAAACGUUUCUAUGUUUAGAGAUGUAUAAAUGGAAUGAGUUUCCUAUAAUAAACUUGGAUGUUGUUCAGAUCUCUCAUAGCGGGAAAAGCUUUUCACAAGUAACUUGAAUUGGCUAUGAUAUCUAUGAUAUCAUUCACAUAUGUAUAUAUGCACAUAUAAACAAACAGAAAACUAAGGAACGGACUCAGUUUUAGAAUCUUAUACAUCUGUGAAACUAAAACAAAUUUGUUAAUUAAAUGCAAUAAAACUACCAAAUAAAGAGAAAUUCAAGUCUGCCAUAUUGAUUUACUACAGGAAAUGACACCCAUCUGAAACUAAGUCACCCUCAAAACAACACUGUGUUGACUACAGUAGAACAGGGCAACAGCAUGACCUAUUUCAUCCCAUGCUAUUCGAUGGUUCAUCCUCCCACCCACCUUUGUUAACUGGGCACACCAAGGCACAAUUUGACUAUGUUGGCCAGGUGUUGUGUUGCAUGACUUUAAUCCCAGCACCUAGGAGGCAGACAGAUCUCUGUGAGUGCAAGGCCAGCCUGGCUUACAUAGUGAGUCUCAGGCCAACCUGGUUUACACAGUGAGUUCCAGGACAGCUAGGGUUACACAGAGAGAACUUGUCUCAAACAAAACACAACACAACAAAACAAACAAUCGGACUGUGCUUUGAUAUGGCCAUACUCUUUAUUUAUAAAUUGUUUUCUUAUCUUUUUUCAAGUCUGUCACAGUUCUCUUAGUUCUCUUUGCUAACCACACGUCCAAACAUAGGUAGUGGAAUUUCAUUCCCAGGAAAACUAUAAAAGGUUCCUAUAUUUGCAAACAUUUUAACCUCACUCUUAAUUCAAUGCACAUUAAAACAAGAGUCCCUUUCAUCUGUCACAUUGACAAGGUUCUUAAAGAUAGAUGCUGGUAGGCAUGUGUGAUGGGCACUCCUGAAUACUUACUGGGGGAAUAAAAUCUUACCUGACCUUCAUGGAAAGCAAUUUGGCCAUCUUAAGAGAUUUCAAAACCUCCGAGUUACUAAUUUCAAAUACAGCUUUUAAUCCUAAGAUAAUAAUUUUAAGCUACUGACAAAACAAAAAAAAGAAUUUUGCAUAAAGAUAUUCAUGGAAAUGUGGACGAUGAAAGAUAGACUCCCCCAAUGUCCCAGAGUCAAUGAAAGAAUUUAAGGUACAGGCCUUCUUUAGGGAUUCAGUGCUUAUGGCUCCAGAACAUAAUACUGCAAACAGUACUAAAGUGAGUCACACCAACUUUUUGAUUUCUAAGUGUGUGCAAAACUACAUUUACAUUAUUCUGUAGUAUAGUCACUAGUUAAGUGCAUCAUAAAAAGUCAAUGCCAUACAUAGGUCAAUUAGAUAAGCUUUAUUGCUUCUACAACACCCACCCACAAGACUUCGAUUUGCUUUUUGAAGUUAUCUUGAAUAAGUGAGUGAUUUAAUAAUGCAACUCACCCUAUUAUUUUUGAUAUAAAGAUGAACUACUAAAAAUAAUAAUUUGGAAAAUAGUGCUUUUCGGUAUCCACGUUUAUUUGUAAAAGCAAUGCUUCCCCUUCACCCGACAACUACCCACCCAACCUGACAAUUCUGUGUUCGCCUUUCAAAAGAAAAUGGAUUAGCAGAUACCACCAAGUCCAGCGAAACAAAUUCCAUAUCUACUCCCACUGCCACCCCUACACCACCCCCACCGCACUCUGUAUCCAUCCGUCUGUCCGUCCGUCCGACUGUCCAUUCAUUUGUCGAAUCUGAGACAGGUCUGUCUUCGCAUCCCAGGAUAGUUUGAACUCAAUGUGAUACUUCUGCCUCAGGCUUCAGCCUAGCAUAGGUUCAGAUAGGUGUGAUCCCUGACACCUGGCUUUGGGGUCAGUUUCUAGAAGGUCUGGUAAACUGAAUGAAAGGGACUUUCCUCUCCCAUCUGAGGACCUCUAUUUAUUAGAUUGUGCUCCCUCUCCUGGUGACAGUCUGUCCCUAGAGGCCAGACCGAGUCUCCCUUUAAGGAGGGCGUGGAGCAGAGACUCCUACAGCCCACCACAGAGCCUCUCUGGGGAACAGAGCUUAAGCACACCCAAGACCUGAACACAAUACGCGUGCUUGCGCUGCCCUCUUAGGGUCACUUGGGCCGGGCUUCGGUCAAGUCAGACUCAGGCUCAGGUAAUGCAUCUGGACGGCUGGGGCGGGGCGGGGCGGGGGAGCCUGCGGCCACCAUGGACUG